GCCGGGUGCGGUGGCUCAAGCCUGUAAUCCCAGCACUUUGGGAGGCCGAGACGGGCGGAUCACGAGGUCAGGAGAUCGAAACCAUCCUGGCUAACUCGGUGAAACCCCGUCUCUACUAAAAAAUACAAAAAACUGGCCGGGCGAGGUGGCGGGCGCCUGUAGUCNNNNNNNNNNGACUACAGGCGCCCGCCACCUCGCCCGGCCAGUUUUUUGUAUUUUUUAGUAGAGACGGGGUUUCACCGAGUUAGCCAGGAUAGUCUCGAUCUCCUGACCUCGUGAUCCGCCCGUCUCGG
rnacentral:SRP_RNA from 1 species